AUUGAACGCUGGCGGCAUGCCUUACACAUGCAAGUCGAACGGUAACAGGUCUUCGGAUGCUGACGAGUGGCGAACGGGUGAGUAAUACAUCGGAACGUGCCCGAUCGUGGGGGAUAACGAAGCGAAAGCUUUGCUAAUACCGCAUAAGAUCCACGGAUGAAAGCAGGGGACCGCAAGGCCUUGCGCGAACGGAACGGCCGAGGGCCGAACAGGUAGUUGGUGGGAUAAAAGCUUACCAAGCCGACGAUCUGUAGCUGGUCUGAGAGGACGACCAGCCAAACUGGGACUGAGACACGGCCCAGACUCCUACGGGAGGCAGCAGUGGGGAAUUUUGGACAAUGGACGAAAGCCUGAUGCAGCCAUGCCGCGUGCAGGAUGAAGGCCUUCGGGUUGUAAACUGCUUUUGUACGGAACGAAAAGACUCUUUCUAAUAAAGAGGGUCCAUGACGGUACCGUAAGAAUAAGCACCGGCUAACUACGUGCCAGCCGCCGCCGUAA
rnacentral:rRNA from 1 species